GAUGAAGAACGUAGCGAAAUGCGAUAAGUAAUGUGAAUUGCAGAAUUCAGUGAAUCAUCGAAUCUUUGAACGCACAUUGCGCCCGCCAGUAUUCUGGCUGGCAUGCCUGUUCGAGCGUCAUUACAACCCUCAGGCCCCCGGGCCUGGCGUUGGGGAUCGGCGGAAGCCCCCUGCGGGCACAACGCCGUCCCCCAAAUACAGUGGCGGUCCCGCCGCAGCUUCCAUUGCGUAGUAGCUAACACCUCGCAACUGGAGAGCGGCGCGGCCACGCCGUAAAACACCCAACUUCUGAAUGUUGACCUCGAAUCAGGUAGGAAUACCCGCUGAACUUAAGCAUAUCAAUAAGCGGAGGA
rnacentral:misc_RNA from 1 species